rnacentral:lncRNA from 1 species
AGAUUUCCAGAAUUUUUCAAAACGCUCCAGAAAUUAACCAAAAGCAUACUAUUCGAUUUGUCAUGGUUCAUACAUCAAAGAUCAAUAAUCAUUUCAUGGAAAAACAUCAUCAAAUGCAUGGAUCGAAGGAAAUAAAAAAAAACAUCCAGACUUGAAUCACAUGGAUCUUUGCGUACAAUGCAUCAUUUCAACUCAUUCAAAG